rnacentral:misc_RNA from 1 species
UCUCCGUAGGUGAACCUGCGGAGGGAUCAUUACAGAGUUCUCGCCCUCGCGGGUAGAUCUCCCACCCACUGUUAUCGUUACUGUGUUGCUUUGGCGGGCCGCCGGGCCCCGCUCGGCCGCCGGCUCCGGCUGGCGCGCGCCCGCCAGAGGCCCAGCAAACUCUGAAUGUUAGUGUCGUCUGAGUAUUAUAUAAUAGUUAAAACUUUCAACAACGGAUCUCUUGGUUCUG